rnacentral:rRNA from 1 species
UAGGGAAUCUUCCGCAAUGGGCGAAAGCCUGACGGAGCAACGCCGCGUGAGUGAUGAAGGUCUUCGGAUCGUAAAACUCUGUUAUUAGGGAAGAACAAAUGUGUAAGUAACUAUGCACGUCUUGACGGUACCUAAUCAGAAAGCCACGGCUAACUACGUGCCAGCAGCCGCGGUAAUACGUAGGUGGCAAGCGUUAUCCGGAAUUAUUGGGCGUAAAGCGCGCGUAGGCGGUUUUUUAAGUCUGAUGUGAAAGCCCACGGCUCAACCGUGGGGGGUCAUUUGGAACUGGAAAACUUGAGUGGAGAAGAAGAAAGUGGAAUUCCAUGGGUAGCGGUGAAAUGCGCAGGGGUAUGGAGGAACCCCAGUGGCGAAGGCGAAUUUCUGGUCUGUAACUGACGCUGAUGGGCGAAAGCGUGGGGAUCAAAAAGG